GACGAACGCUGGCGGCGUGCUUAACACAUGCAAGUCGAACGGAAAGGCCCUGCUUUUGUGGGGUGCUCGAGUGGCGAACGGGUGAGUAACACGUGAGUAACCUGCCCUUGACUUUGGGAUAACUUCAGGAAACUGGGGCUAAUACCGGAUAGGAGCUCCUGCUGCAUGGUGGGGGUUGGAAAGUUUCGGCGGUUGGGGAUGGACUCGCGGCUUAUCAGCUUGUUGGUGGGGUAGUGGCUUACCAAGGCUUUGACGGGUAGCCGGCCUGAGAGGGUGACCGGCCCCAUGGGGACUGGGAUACGGCCCGGACUCCUACGGGGGGCAGCAGUGGGGAAUAUUGCACACUGGGCGGAAGCCGGAUGCAGCAACGCCGCGUGCGGGAUGACGGCCUUCGGGUUGUAAACCGCUUUCGCCUGUGACGAAGCGUGAGUGACGGUAAUGGGUAAAGAAGCACCGGCUAACUACGU
rnacentral:rRNA from 1 species